rnacentral:piRNA from 1 species
UUGGAGGUGGUGCUAGUUAUGAAGCCAGA